AAGAUGGCAAUCCAUGAAGAUCUGAUUAAGCCAAAAGUUCCUAAUUUACCUCCAGGAAAACAACAACUUAGGAAUAGAAAAGCCUACAGGCUAUUUGGGGAUUAUUCUUCCUGACUAUGAUCAAGUGGCAAGUGAUGCUGACAGAAGUGGAGGCUUGGGAACUUCUAUAGAACACUCCAAGAUCUAACUGCAUAACUAAACUACCAGGACUUUGGAUGGCUGGAAGGACUUACAAAAUUGUUGGUUCACAGCUUUCUUCUCACAGAAUCACAGAAUUGUUGGGGUCUGGAUAUCAUCUUGUCCCCCUGCUCAAGCAGGGUCACCUA